rnacentral:ncRNA from 12 species
AAUAAUUGAGGGUAGAAAGGUUCCUACCGCACCUGAAAAGGUAUCUGAGAUGCUGGAUACACCGACCAGCCAAUUAUU